GAAACUAUUAUCUUUUUCACGGGCAAUUAAUUGUAGAAAUUUGCGUGGAUUGCCGGAUAAACGGAGGAGUGGGGACUCAGGAGGAUGGUCUGCAUGCUAACGUGUCUGAUGAGGAUUGGCUGAUCCAUGAGAAUAUCUUAGCGGAAAUUGGCUUAAAGGCGGA